rnacentral:rRNA from 1 species
CGUGGGUAACCUGCCCAAGAGAUCGGGAUAACACCUGGAAACAGAUGCUAAUACCGGAUAACAACAGAUGAUGCCUAUCAACUGUUUAAAAGAUGGUUCUGCUAUCACUCUUGGAUGGACCUGCGGUGCAUUAGCUAGUUGGUAGGGUAACGGCCUACCAAGGCGAUGAUGCAUAGCCGAGUUGAGANACUGAUCGGCCACAUUGGGACUGAGACACGGCCCAAACUCCUACGGGAGGCAGCAGCC